GGAGAGAUGGCCGAGCGGUCGAAGGCGCACGCCUGGAAAGUGUGUAUACGGCAACGUAUCGAGGGUUCGAAUCCCUCUCUCUCCGCCA
rnacentral:tRNA from 57 species